GACGAACGCUGGCGGCGUGCCUAAUACAUGCAAGUAGGACGCAGUUGCGACCGGGUGAGUAACGCGUAGGUAACUACCAAUUAGCGGGGGAUAACUAUUGGAAACGAUAGCUAAUACAGCCUAAUAGUCGAUGGCCCUGCGUUGUAUUAGCUAGUAGGUAGGGGAAUGGCCUACGUAGGCAACGAUACAUAGCCGACCUGAGAGGGUGAUCGGCGAAACUGGGACUGAGACACGGACCAGAGUCAUACGGGAGGCAGCAGUAGGGAAUCGUCGGCAAUGGGGGGAACCCUGACCGAGCAACGCCGCGGGAGUGAAGAAGGUUUUCGGAUCGUAAAGCUCUGUUGUUAAGGAAGCGGUACUUAACCAGAAAGGGACGGCUAACUACGUGCCAGCCGCCGCGGUAAUUC
rnacentral:rRNA from 1 species